GCGUGCAGGAUGAAGGCUUCGGGUUGUAACUGCUUUUGUACAGAACGAAAAGUCUUGGGUUAAUACCCUGGGAUCAUGACGGUACCUGUAGAAUAAGCACCGGCUAACUACGUGCCAGCAGCCGCGGUAAUACGUAGGGUGCAAGCGUUAAUCGGAAUUACUGGGCGUAAAGCGUGCGCAGGCGGUUAUGUAGACAGAGGUGAAAUCCCGGGCUCAACCUGGGAACGGCCUUUGUGACUGCAUAGCUAGAGUACGGUAGAGGGGGAUGGAAUUCCGCGUGUAGCAGUGAAAUGCGUAGAUAUGCGGAGGAACAACGCAUGGCGGAGGCAUCCCCUGGCCCUGUUACUGACSCUCAUGCACGAAGCGUGGGAGCAACAGAUUAGAUACCUGUAGUCCACGCCUAAACGAUGUCAAACUGGUUGUUGGGCCAACCGACCUAGUAACCGAGCUAACGCGUGAGUUGCCGCCUGGGAGUACGGC
rnacentral:rRNA from 1 species